CCUACGGGCGGCAGCAGUGGGGAAUAUUGCACAAUGGGGGAAACCCUGAUGCAGCGACGCCGCGUGAGUGAAGAAGUAAUUCGUUAUGUAAAGCUCUAUCAGCAGGGAAGAAAAUGACGGUACCUGAGUAAUAAGCCACGGCCGACUACGUGCCAGCCGCCGCGGGUAUGCGUCGGGGGCAAGCGUUAUCCGGAUUUACUGGGUGUAAAGGGAGCGUAGACGGCAGUGCAAGUCUGGAGUGAAAGGCGGGGGCUCAACCCCAGGACUGCUCUGGAAACUGUAAGGCUGGAGUGCAGGAGAGGUAAGUGGAAGUCCUAGUGUAGCGGUGAAAUGCGUAGAUAUUAGGAGGAACACCAGUGGCGAAGGCGGCUUACUGGACUGUAACUGACGUUGCGGCUCGAAAGCGUGGGGAGCAAACAGGAUUAGAUACCCUAGUAGUC
rnacentral:rRNA from 1 species